GGAUCCAGACUUUGAUUAUGGCUCAGAGUGAACGCUGGCGGCGUGCUUAACACAUGCAAGUCGAACGAGAACGGGUUAUAGCUUGCUAUAACUGUCAGCUAAGUGGCGCACGGGUGAGUAAUGUAUAGUUAACCUGCCCUCGAGAAAGGAAUAACAGUUGGAAACGACUGCUAAUGCCCUAUAUGCCUUUAAGACAUAAGUCUGCAAGGGAAAUGCUUUAGUGCUCGAGGAUGGGACUGUAUGGUAUCAGCUAGUUGGUGAGGUAAUGGCUCACCAAGGCAAUGACGCCUAACUGGUUUGAGAGGAUGAUCAGUCACACUGGAACUGAGACACGGUCCAGACUCCUACGGGAGGCAGCAGUGGGGAAUAUUGCACAAUGGAGGAAACUCUGAUGCAGCAACGCCGCGUGGAGGAUGACACUUUUCGGAGCGUAAACUCCUUUUAUAUAGGAAGAUAAUGACGGUACUAUAUGAAUAAGCACCGGCUAACUCCGUGCCAGCAGCCGCGG
rnacentral:rRNA from 1 species